rnacentral:rRNA from 1 species
AACGUAGGUUCCGAGCGUUAUCCGGAUUUACUGGGCGUAAAGCGCGUUCAGGCGGUUUGGCAAGUCGGGCAUGAAAUCUCUCGGCUCAACCGGGAGAGGUUGUCCGAUACUGCUGGACUUGAGGGCAGUAGAGGGUGGUGGAAUUCCGGGUGUAGUGGUGAAAUGCGUAGAUAUCCGGAGGAACACCAGUGGCGAAAGCGGCCACCUGGACUGCACCUGACGCUGACACGCGAAAGCGUGGGGAGCGAACAGG